rnacentral:rRNA from 1 species
AUUGAACGCUGGCGGCAGGCCUAACACAUGCAAGUCGAGCGGUAGCACAGAGAGCUUGCUCUCGGGUGACGAGCGGCGGACGGGUGAGUAAUGUCUGGGAAACUGCCUGAUGGAGGGGGAUAACUACUGGAAACGGUAGCUAAUACCGCAUAAUGUCGCAAGACCAAAGUGGGGGACCUUCGGGCCUCAUGCCAUCAGAUGUGCCCAGAUGGGAUUAGCUAGUAGGUGGGGUAACGGCUCACCUAGGCGACGAUCCCUAGCUGGUCUGAGAGGAUGACCAGCCACACUGGAACUGAGACACGGUCCAGACUCCUACGGGAGGCAGCAGUGGGGAAUAUUGCACAAUGGGCGCAAGCCUGAUGCAGCCAUGCCGCGUGUGUGAAGAAGGCCUUCGGGUUGUAAAGCACUUUCAGCGGGGAGGAAGGCGGUGAGGUUAAUAACCUCAUCGAUUGACGUUACCCGCAGAAGAAGCACCGGCUAACUCCGUGCCAGCAGCCGCGGUAAUACGGAGGGUGCAAGCGUUAAUCGGAAUUACUGGGCGUAAAGCGCACGCAGGCGGUCUGUCAAGUCGGAUGUGAAAUCCCCGGGCUCAACCUGGGAACUGCAUUCGAAACUGGCAGGCUAGAGUCUUGUAGAGGGGGGUAGAAUUCCAGGUGUAGCGGUGAAAUGCGUAGAGAUCUGGAGGAAUACCGGUGGCGAAGGCGGCCCCCUGGACAAAGACUGACGCUCAGGUGCGAAAGCGUGGGGAGCAAACAGGAUUAGAUACCCUGGUAGUCCACGCCGUAAACGAUGUCGAUUUGGAGGUUGUGCCCUUGAGGCGUGGCUUCCGGAGCUAACGCGUUAAAUCGACCGCCUGGGGAGUACGGCCGCAAGGUUAAAACUCAAAUGAAUUGACGGGGGCCCGCACAAGCGGUGGAGCAUGUGGUUUAAUUCGAUGCAACGCGAAGAACCUUACCUGGUCUUGACAUCCACAGAACUUAGCAGAGAUGCUUUGGUGCCUUCGGGAACUGUGAGACAGGUGCUGCAUGGCUGUCGUCAGCUCGUGUUGUGAAAUGUUGGGUUAAGUCCCGCAACGAGCGCAACCCUUAUCCUUUGUUGCCAGCGGUCCGGCCGGGAACUCAAAGGAGACUGCCAGUGAUAAACUGGAGGAAGGUGGGGAUGACGUCAAGUCAUCAUGGCCCUUACGACCAGGGCUACACACGUGCUACAAUGGCAUAUACAAAGAGAAGCGACCUCGCGAGAGCAAGCGGACCUCAUAAAGUAUGUCGUAGUCCGGAUUGGAGUCUGCAACUCGACUGCGUGAAGUCGGAAUCGCUAGUAAUCGCGGAUCAGCAUGUCGCGGUGAAUACGUUCCCGGGUCUUGUACACACCGCCCGUCACACCAUGGGAGUGGGUUUUACCAGAAGUAGUUAGCCUAACCGCAAGGGGGGCGAUUACCACGGUAGGAUUCAUGACUGGGGUGA